rnacentral:rRNA from 1 species
AACGAACGCUGGCGGCAUGCCUAACACAUGCCAGUCGAACGAGACCUUCGGGUCUAGUGGCGCACGGGUGCGUAACGCGUGGGAACCUGCCCUUAGGUUCGGAAUAACUCCCCGAAAGGGGUGCUAAUACCGGAUAAUGUCUUCGGACCAAAGAUUUAUCGCCUUUGGAUGGUCCCGCGUUGGAUUAGCUAGUUGGUAGGGUAAAAGCCUACCAAGGCGACGAUCCAUAGAUGGUCUGAGAGGAUGAUCAGCCACACUGGGACUGAGACACGGCCCAGACUCCUACGGGAGGCAGCAGUGGGGAAUAUUGGACAAUGGGCGAAAGCAUGAUCCAGCAAUGCCGCGUGAGUGAUGAAGGCCUUAGGGUUGUAAAGCUCUUUUAACCGGGAUGAUAAUGACAGUACCGGGAGAAUAAGCUCCGGCUAACUCCGUG